CGGCUAACCAAGUGAUUCGGUGUAUUUAAUCACCGAGUUUUUUUUUGUUUAUGCGAGGCAAUUUUUGAUUUUAUUAAGCAUAUAGGUAGAAUUUCAUAUUCAAUUAUUUAUCUCGAUACAAAAUACAUGGUUGAAGAGCGGUGUCCUUUGCAUCAACGUUUAAUAUAAAAAAAUAAAAAUUGUAUUGCUCUUGAGCUUAUCCUUGAGAAGUUGAGUAAUUAACAAAAUUGUCUAGAAGUUGGAAAAAUAUUAAGCAAACUAAGUUAAACUUCCUCAUGUGUUAUCAAUCCAUUUUUAUGCUGACAGAUCGUCUUCUACAAAAAAACUGGCAACAAUAAACUGGGAGG